rnacentral:rRNA from 1 species
UUGGAGGGCAAGUCUGGUGCCAGCAGCCGCGGUAAUUCCAGCUCCAAUAGCGUAUAUUAAAGUUGUUGCAGUUAAAAAGCUCGUAGUUGAAUUUCGGGGUUAGUAGGUUGGUCAUGCCACUGGUAUGUACUGGUCUCACUGAUUCCUCCUUCCUGAUGAGCCGUAAUGCCAUUAAUUUGGUGUUGCGAGGAAUCUGGACUGUUACUUUGAAAAAAUUAGAGUGUUUAAAGCAAGCUAACGCUUGAAUACAUUAGCAUGGAAUAAUGAAAUAGGACGUUCGAUCCUAUUUUGUUGGUUUCUAGGAUUGACGUAAUGAUUAAUAGGGAUAGUUGGGGGCAUUAGUAUUCAAUUGUCAGAGGUGAAAUUCUUGGAUUUAUUGAAGACUAACUACUGCGAAAGCAUUUGCCAAGGAUGUUUUCAUUAAUCAAGAACGAAAGUUAGGGGAUCGAAGACGAUCAGAUACCGUCGUAGUCUUAACCAUAAACUAUGCCGACUAGGGAUCGGAUGAUGUUAUUUUUAAUGACUCAUUCGGCGCCUUACGGGAAAC